CAGGUCUGCUGAAUAUGCAGGCUUAGGUUCCAAGUUUGUCUUCUAAUAGGCUCACGAAACUUCUAAUGCCCUUUGUGGGAGCUUUCAAAAGGCACUUAAGGGCCAAAUGGGUCCCUUAUCCAUAUGGUAGACUUAAAUCCAACCUCACAUUUUAUAAGCCAAGUAAGGUCAACCGAAAGUCAUCCUAUUCAUAAUUUUCUAUCUUAUGCUAAUGAAGUGAACUUAUAGAUACCAAAGGCCCCGAUUUUGUUCAGAAGAAGACUGAAUAGUUGAUGAGAAAUCUGAGAACAUCCCUGCCUCCUGAAUGUGAAAUGAUAUGGAUGGUUUAAGACUGUACCAAAAUUUCUACCCACUCAAUUCCUCCUACAGGUGUCCUAGCGGACGUUAACUCAUUUUCCUUCCCAUUGCCACCCCCUUCAUCUAGGUAUUUAUCACAUGCCACUUGCAUUAUAGCUUCUGUCUCCUGUCAUUCCCUGAGCUACUGGAAUGGCUUUCUUACAAUCUUUGCCAACAGUCUCUCUCUCUCUCUCUUUUUUUUUCUUUUUUUGGUUUUUAGGGCCGUACCCAUGGCAUAUGGAGGUUCCCAGGCUAGGGGUCGAAUUGGAGCUACAGCUGCCGGCCUGCAUCACAGCCACAGCAACACAGGAUCCAAGCCAUGUCUGUGACCUACACCACAGCUCAUGGCAACGCCAGAUCCUUAACCCUCUGAGCGAGGCCAGUGAUUGAACCCACAACCUCGUGGUUCCUUGUUGGAUUUGUUUCUGCUGUGCCAUCACGGGAACGCACCCCAUCUUUUCUUGAUUGUCUUAACAGCUUUGUCAGAUUUCAUUUUCUCAAGCACAACUUGAGUUGCGCCCUUAUCCCACUCCAAAAGCCUUUAUAAUUUCCCAUUGCUUAUAACGUGAAUUCUAAGCUCACUGGCUCCACAAGAAAGGACUGAUAGGGUUUGGGCCGGUGUCCGGUGAUUUGUGGGGAGGGUUUGAGGAAGCAGGGCUUUGUUCUGGGUUGGCUGUUAUCAGGAGGCAGGGGUACUUGUGAUUUAGGGAUCGGAGGUCUUCAUGCCAUCCACAGCAACGUGAAUUCAUCUGGAGAGUCUCAUACUGAGUGAAGUAAGCCAGAAAGGGAAAGACAGAUACCAUAUGAUAUCACUACUUACAUAUAGAAUCUAAAAUAUGACACCAACAAACCUACUUAUGAAACAGAGGCAGACUCAUGGACAAGGAGAACAGACUUGUGGUUGCCAAGGGGGAGGGGUUUGGAAAAGGGAUGGAGUGGGAGGUUGGGGUGAGCAGAUGUAAGCUAUUAUUUAUGCACGGGAUAAUCAACAAAGUCCUACCGUAUAGGACAGAGACCUGUAAUCAAUGCCCUGGGAUAAACCACAGUGGAAAAGAAUAUAUUUUAAAAGAAUGUGUAUAUGCAUGUGUGUGUGCGUAUAACUGAAUCACUUUGUUGUACAGCAGAAAUUAACACAUUAUAAAUCAACCACACUUCAAGGAAAAAAAAAUCAAAGGGGAAAUCAGAGUGAGACUGAUACUGUAUUUGAUAAAGAAGUCGAAGUUACUUCUGUUGGCCAAAAUAUUGGGGUGUUUGGUCGCUUUUGUGGUCUAGACAGACGUCAUGCAUUUUUCUUUGUUCAGACAUGUUAUGGUGUGGUCUUCUUUCUUCCUGAUCUGUCACCAUCAUAAGGUGACCUCCUCUGAUACUGGUAUUGCGUGAAAUUACUUUCAACAGGAGGACACCAAGGCUUAGCUGUGAGUGCCAGGCUAGCACCUGGAUGUCAGGGACAGCGUCUCUGUUUCUCAGGAUGUAAUUAAUAAUUGGUAAAAGAUAAAAGUUGAUGGGUGCCUAAUUUACAAAGUAGUUUCACUGAAGUAUCCUCAGCAUGGGAACCUAGUACCAUUAGUUCUAGGGAUCAAACUUCCUGGCUCAAUUUAGAUGCUGCCAUCAGACAGGAAGAAAGAACAGUAAGAAUCAUGUGAGAGGGAGUUCGCUUAUGGCACAAUGGGUUCAGGAUCUGGUGUUGGCCCUGCAGCUGUCUGGGCGGUUGCUGUGGCAAGGGUUCGAUCCGUGGCCCGGGAAUUACCACAUGCUGUGGGUGUGACCCAUGGGCGGGGGGAAAUAAAAAGAGAAUCAUGUCAGAUGUUAUUGAUGUGUGUCUCUUCAAAGCUGGCCCACACUUGUGCUAGCAUUCCACUAGCCAGAACUCAGAUACAUAGAUGGUCCUGUCUAACCGCAAAGGAGGCUGGGAAGUGUCAUCUAGCUAUGUGUCCCUAGAGUUGAGAAACACAUUUUGGAGAAUAGCGGAAAGUCUCUGCCUUGCCUUAAUUAUCCCUGCCCAAAUUCCCAAGUAAAAUACCAUUCAUCAUUCCAAAUAGGUAUUUGUCAACUAAUAGAAAACAGUCUGGAAGGAUCUCCACCUGACAAGUCAUGGUGUUUUUCUCUGAGGAGGCGGGAAGGUUGACAGCAGUGUUAAAGCAGGAUGUUUUCUUGUUAUUCUUUACACUUCCCUAUUUCUAUUCUCUAUUCUUAUUUUCUGACUUAUAGUCGUGUACUCCUGUGGUAAUUAAAGCAUUAAAGAUCAUUAAACGAGGGGCAAGAAAUGUUGAAAAUACAUGGGGGAAAUGUGUAAAUUAGGCAUGCGUUUCUGACACAGCACAGGG
rnacentral:lncRNA from 1 species